AUUGAACGCUGGCGGCAGGCCUAACACAUGCAAGUCGAACGAGUGGCGGACGGGUGAGUAAUGUCUGGGAAACUGCCCGAUGGAGGGGGAUAACUACUGGAAAGGGUAGCUAAUACCGCAUACCAUCGGAUGUGCCCAGAUGGGAUUAGCUAGUAGGUGGGGUAAAGGCUCACCUAGGCGACGAUCCCUAGUUGGUCUGAGAGGAUGACCAGCCACACUGUAACUGAGCCACGGUCCAGACUCCUACGGGAGGAGGCAGUGGGGAAUAUUGGACAAUGGGCGCAAGCCUGAUGCAGCCAUGCCGCGGAUAUGAAGAAGGCCUGCGGGUUGUAAAGUACUUUCGGCGGGGAGGCGUUACCCGCAGAAGAAGCACCGGCUAACUCCGUGCCAGCAGCCGCGGUAAUUC
rnacentral:rRNA from 1 species